rnacentral:rRNA from 1 species
UGCGUAGGUGGUUUCUUAAGUCAGAGGUGAAAGGCUACGGCUCAACCGUAGUAAGCCUUUGAAACUGGGAAACUUGAGUGCAGGAGAGGAGAGUGGAAUUCCUAGUGUAGCGGUGAAAUGCGUAGAUAUUAGGAGGAACACCAGUUGCGAAGGUGGCUCUCUGGACUGUAACUGACACUGAGGCACGAAAGCGUGGGGAGCAAACA